rnacentral:tRNA from 1 species
GCCAGAGUGGCGUAGUGGUUUGAGUGUUGGACUAUGAUCUGGAGACCAGGGUUCGAAUCCCAACUCAGCCA